GCAAUACAUUGCUUUCAGAGGGCUCGCUCAUCGUUAUUUGAUAGUAAUCGCACCUGAAAUAUGUCAAGUAAUGAUGGGCGUAUACCUCCCGGCAAGGUCAAACUCAAUAACAUUGUG
rnacentral:ncRNA from 2 species